rnacentral:rRNA from 1 species
AUUCCAGCUCCAAUAGCGUAUAUUAAAGUUGUUGUGGUUAAAAAGCUCGUAGUUGGAUCUCGGCGGUCUGAGGGCGGUUCGCUUCAGAGCGCUACUGCCCUAUAGACCGUAGUUUUGCCAGAGGUCUCAGGGUGCUCUUAACCGAGUGUCUUGCGAUGCUGGCAGGUUUACUUUGAAAAAAUUAGAGUGCUCAAAGCAGGCUUUUACGCCUGAAUAUUCGUGCAUGGAAUAAUAGAAUAGGACUACGGUCUCGUUGUUGGUUUGAGGGACUGGAGUAAUGAUUAAUAGGGAUAGUUGGGGGCAUUAGUAUUUAAUUGUCAGAGGUGAAAUUCUCAGAUUUGUUAAAGACUAACUUAUGCGAAAGCAUUUGCCAAGGAUGUUUUCAUUG